rnacentral:lncRNA from 1 species
GGCAUGAACCUGGGAGGCAGAACUUGCAGUGAGCCAAGAUCGCACCACUGCACUCCAACCUGGGUGACACAGUGGGACUCUGUCUCAAAAAAAAAAAAAAAAAUUUCUUUUUAACUAGCUAAGUGUGGUGGUGCACGUCUGUCGUCCUAUUUGGGACGCUGAGGCAGAAGGAUCCCUUGAGUGCAGGAGUUUGAGGUUGUAGUAAGCUGUGAUUGCGACACUGCACUCCAGCCUGGAUGACCAAAUGAGGUCACCUCAAAAAAAAAAAAAAGAAAGAAAGAAAGAAACACAAAAAACUAUCUUCUGCUUUGAAAAUCACUUAAGUACUACUGUAGACACCAAUGUAAUCAGAAUUUUCGGCAAGAUAAGCUGAUGUACAAUUCCAGUUCUUUCUUUUCUAAAUUGUACUAUCUAUAUAGAACGAAGCAACAAGAGAACAAAUGUCAAAUUUAAAUAUAUUUACUCCAUGUUGCAAAGAUGUUAAGAACUUAAUUCUGCUAUCUGGCUCUACUCUUCUACAUUAUACAGAAGAUUCAUAAUAUAACCCUUUAAAAAGGCUUAGGCUUCAUCCCAUAUCCAUUCACAGACAAAAAUAAGCUAGUUCUGUUGUAAGACACAAAGUGAUGGUUAAACAUUUUCUUUUGAAUGUAAAGUGUGUAGCCAGUUUUGACAAAUCUGGCAGUUCCACUAAAGGUUAAAUAUGACUUAGCAAUUCCAUUCCCAAGUAUAUACGCAAGAGAGGUAAGCACGUAUGUCCCCACAGUAACUUGUACAUGAAUGUUCACAGCAUUAGUUAUAACAGCUAAAAAGUGGAAAUAAUCCAAAUGUCUUUAACAGAUGAAUGCAUAAACAGAAUAAGGUAAUAUCUACAAAUAAAAAGAAAUGAUUAAGUUCUGAUACGUGCUAGAAUAUUGAUGAACCUUACAAACAUUAUGCUGAGUGAAAAAAUCCAGUCACAAAAUGCCACAUCAUUAUGUAUGAUUCCAUAUACAAGAAAUCUCCAGGACAGGAAAAUCCUUAGAGGAAAAAAGUAAAUUAGUGUUUGCCUAGGGAUACACACAAGUUCCAGGAAAAUAGCAGGUGACUGCUAAGGUACGGGGGUGAUUUUUGAGGUGAUUUAAGUAUUCUAAAAUUGAUUGUGGACAUGGUUGCACAACUUUGAAUAUAUGAAAAAACAGUGAAGUGCACAUUUUAAAUACAUAAAUUGUAUUACUGGUAUUAUUUUAAUAAAAUUGUUAUUUAAAAAACACCUUCCCUUUAUUAACCAUAAUAUUUUUCUCCCACCGGACUGACCAAGUUAGUUCUUUUUCGUAUUUAUAGACUUAGAACCACAGGGACCCAGAAACCUUUAGUCCUGUACCUUCUCAUUUUAGACUUGUAAGAAUUAGAGCCUUAAUAAAAGAUUUAUCUAUCCAACAUGGAUAGAAAGUGGGAUCAGAAGUCAGAUCUUUCUGGAAUUCAACUAGCCACAUUCUCUUCCGCUUCACCAACUCUGAAUCAACCUCUCUUUCUACUCAACUUUUUACUGCUUCAUUUUACCCCUUUUCUCCCUUCACACUGUUCAGGUGUAUCAUCUGAGUAAAUCAUUUCUUUUCUUCUCUUUAGUCCAAUAUGCAUGUAUUAAGUUCUACUUUUUUUUUUUUUUUUUUUUUUUUUUUUUUUUUUUUUGAGACAAGGUCUCUCACUCUGUUGCCCAGGCUGGACUACAACGGCACAAUCAUGGCUCAGUGCAGCCUCAACUUCCCAGGCUCAAGCGAUCCUCCUGCCUCAGACUCCUCUGGAGUAGUUGGCACUACAGGCAUGUACCAUCACAACUGGCUGAUUUUUGUAUUUUUUUGUAGAGAUGGUGUUUUGCCUUGUUACCCAGGGUGGCCUCGAACUCCUGAGCUCAAGCAAUCCACCCACCUCAGCCCCCCAAAGUGUUGGGAUUACAGGCGUGAGCCUCUGCACCCAGCCAAGAUCUCCUUUCUGUAUCUAAAAUUUUAUUUUACUAUUUGGUCAAGGUAGUCAACUAACUCUCUUCUCUAGUAAACCCUUUCAAUUACAAAUUUCUGCUGCAGGAUUCUUCCCUAAAUUUGACUACAUUAUAUCAAGGCUCGGCAGCAGAAAAUAUACUGCCAGGUAAAACCCACACUGGUUUACUGGGUUACAGUCAAAUGCCAACAGUUCAAUUAAAUGUUCUAGGCCGGGCACGGUGGCUCAUGCCUGUAAUCCCAGCACUUUGGGAGGCUGAGGCAGGUGGAUCACGAGGUCAGGAGAUCGAGACCAUCCUGGCUAACACGGUGAAACCCCGUCUCUACUAAAAAUACAAAAAAUUAGCUGGGCGUGGUGGUGGGCGCCUGUAGUCCCAGCUACUCGGAAGGCUGAGGCAGGAGAAUGGCGUUAAGUAAACCUGGGAGGUGGAGCUUGCAGUGAGCCUAGAUGGGGCCACUCACUGCACUCCAGCCUGGGCGACAGAGGAGACUCCGUCUCAAAACAAAAAAAAAAGAAAAAAAAUUCCUCUAAGAAAGCCCAAAAUACAUGUGCCACAAGGAAAACAGCUAACUUGAGAGGGAACAAGUGUGCUUUUUAAUUAUGCAUGCCAUUCCUUUCAUACCUUGAAGCAGUCAUCUUGAGUAACAACGGAAUUUAUCAGUCUCUUCUCUGGAUUAAACAGACAAGAUACCACCAUUUGUAUGCUUCGGUCCACAGAUUUCUGAAACACAGAAGUUUUCAGUAAUGUAAAGACAACUCUUUCUUUCACUCACUCUUAAUAAGGGUGUGUUUUGGUUUUUCUUUUGAUGGUUUAAUGAACAUAUCAGUUUAUUUCCAAAGAAAUGCAAAAAUGCUAAAAGAGGCUGGGAGCAGUGGCUCACACCUCUAAUCCCAGCACUUUGGGAGGCCGAGGAGGACGCAUCACCUGAUAUCAGGAGUUCAAGACUAUCCUGGCCAACAUGGCGAAACCCCUUCUCCACUAAAAAAUACAAAAAUUAGCUGGGUGACGGGUGCCUGUAAUUCCACCUAUUGGGGAGGCUGAGGCAGGGAGAAUUACUGGAACCUAGGAGACAGAAGUUGCAGUGAGCCGAGAUCACACCACUGCACUUCCAGCCUGGGCGACACCGCAAGACCCUGUCUCAAAAAAAAAAGAAAUUCAUAAAAAUGUGAUUCAUAAUUCCUGCCACAUAUCCUCAGUAUGUACGUUUUCUGACAAAUCGAAGAAUUAUUUUAGAACCUUAGCGAUAGAAUACUGGUUUAAAAAGCUGAAUUUGUUAAAUCCCUAAGUGAAUUCCAAUGUUUCAAGAAAACAUACUCAGAACAAAACCAGACAAUUAUACUGUAAGAGUUAUGUUUUCAUAUUUAUUCACAUUUUAAAAUCCAAUAUCAAAUCAAGGAAUUUACACUGCAAUGGGACUUCUUGGGUAUUAUACAUAUUACCAGCACAUCAACUACUUCCACACGCCCACCUAUCUAACAGAACAUAUGUGACGCCAGGAGUGACAGUACUGUUAUUACAGAAAUUUGCACUAAUGAUAAAAAAAAGAAACAACCCUGUCUAUUUCAGUGUUUGAAUAAUUACUACUGACUUCACCACUGUUGGAAACUUCUGCCACAUAUAAUGUUAUGGAGAGAAUGCUUAUUUAAAUGGUAUUUUUCACUGCUUAAGAUCAAAACUGUUGUAAAAGAAAAGGGACAUACAAUUCGUACUAAUUCUUCUUUUGAGUAGAAUUCUAGAGGAAACCCUCCCAUAGCAUUCUGCCAAAUCAUAUUAAUACAGUAUUUAUUAAAGAAUGGCUUUUUAAAAUUAGUGAAACUGAAAUACAGGAAAGGACUUGCUGAAUCAGAAACUUUAGGUAUAUACUGAAAAUUUGGGGUAUCUGAAAUUUCAACA